rnacentral:rRNA from 1 species
AGUGAACGCUGGCGGUAGGCCUAACACAUGCAAGUCGAACGGCAGCACAGUAAGAGCUUGCUCUUACGGGUGGCGAGUGGGGGACGGGUGAGGAAUACAUCGGAAUCUACUUUUUCGUGGGGGAUAACGUAGGGAAACUUACGCUAAUACCGCAUACGACCUACGGGUGAAAGCAGGGGAUCUUCGGACCUUGCGCGAUUGAAUGAGCCGAUGUCGGAUUAGCUGGUUGGCGGGGUAAAGGCCCACCAAGGCGACGAUCCGUAGCUGGUCUGAGAGGAUGAUCAGCCACACUGGAACUGAGACACGGUCCAGACUCCUACGGGAGGCAGCAGUGGGGAAUAUUGGACAAAGGGCGCAAGCCUGAUCCAGCCAUGCCGCGUGGGUGAAGAAGGCCUUCGGGUUGUAAAGCCCUUUUGUUGGGAAAGAAAAGCAGCAGGUUAAUACCCCGCUGUUCUGACGGUACCCAAAGAGUAAGCACCGGCUAACUUCGUG